GAUGAACGCUGGCGGCGUGCCUAAUACAUGCAAGUCGAACGCACAGCGAAAGGUGCUUGCACCUUUCAAGUGAGUGGCGAACGGGUGAGUAACACGUGGACAACCUGCCUCAAGGCUGGGGAUAACAUUUGGAAACAGAUGCUAAUACCGAAUAAAACUUAGUGUCGCAUGACACAAAGUUAAAAGGCGCUUCGGCGUCACCUAGAGAUGGAUCCGCGGUGCAUUAGUUAGUUGGUGGGGUAAAGGCCUACCAAGACAAUGAUGCAUAGCCGAGUUGAGAGACUGAUCGGCCACAUUGGGACUGAGACACGGCCCAAACUCCUACGGGAGGCUGCAGUAGGGAAUCUUCCACAAUGGGCGAAAGCCUGAUGGAGCAACGCCGCGUGUGUGAUGAAGGCUUUCGGGUCGUAAAGCACUGUUGUAUGGGAAGAACAGCUAGAAUAGGAAAUGAUUUUAGUUUGACGGUACCAUACCAGAAAGGGACGGCUAAAUACGUGCCAGCAGCCGCGGUAAUACGUAUGUCCCGAGCGUUAUCCGGAUUUAUUGGGCGUAAAGCGAGCGCAGACGGUUUAUUAAGUCUGAUGUGAAAGCCCGGAGCUCAACUCCGGAAUGGCAUUGGAAACUGGUUAACUUGAGUGCAGUAGAGGUAAGUGGAACUCCAUGUGUAGCGGUGGAAUGCGUAGAUAUAUGGAAGAACACCAGUGGCGAAGGCGGCUUACUGGACUGCAACUGACGUUGAGGCUCGAAAGUGUGGGUAGCAAACAGGAU
rnacentral:rRNA from 1 species